rnacentral:tRNA from 1 species
GGGGUCAUAGCUCAGUUGGUAGAGCGUCGCGGUCGCAAUGCGAAGGUCUCGAGUUCGACUCUCCAUGGCUCCACCA